GGGACACAUGGCUCGUGAGUGCCCUCAGGCAUCUUUCACGGCACCAUCCCAGCAGACAGCUCCAGCUAGCAUGCCACAGCCACCAGUUUCAGUUCUGACGCAGGGCAGAGGCAGAGGGAGAGGGUCAGCCUCUUCAUCUGCAGGUCCCAGAGGUGGAGGUCCGUCAGCUCCGGCGCGGAUUUUCACGAUGACACAGCAGGAGGCAAACACUUCUAACACCGUGGUGUCAGGUAA
rnacentral:lncRNA from 1 species